rnacentral:rRNA from 1 species
CUGGUUGAUCCUGCCGGCGGCCACCGCUAUUGGAAUUCGAUUAAGACAUGCGAGUCGAGAGUCGUAAGGACUCGGCGGACCGCUCAGUAACACGCGGAUAACAUGCCCUUAGGUGGAGGAUAAUCUCGGAAAACUGAGGAUAAUACUCCAUAGAUCUACUAUGCUGGAAUGCUUGUAGGUCCAAAACUCCGGUGCCUAAGGAUUGGUCUGCGGCGUAUCAGGUCGUAGUGGGUGUAACGGACCCACUAGCCGAUGACGCGUAAGGGCCUUGAGAGAGGGAGCCCUGAGAUGGACUCUGAGACAUGAGUCCAGGCCCUACGGGGCGCAGCAGUCGCGAAAACUUCACAAUGGGGGAAACCCCGAUGAGGGAAUUCCAAGUGUCAGCACAUUGUGUUGACUGUUCCCCUGUCUAAAAAACAGGAGAAGUAAGGGCCGGGUAAGACGGGUGCCAGCCGCCGCGGUAAUACCCGCGGCCCGAGUGGUGGUCGAUAUUAUUGAGCCUAAAACGUUCGUAGCCGGUCUUGUAAAUCCUUGGGUAAAUCGGCCAGCUUAACUGUCCGAAGUCCGGGGAGACUGCAAGACUUGGGAUCGGGAGAGGUCAGAGGUACUUCUGGGGUAGGGGUAAAAUCCUGUAAUCCUAGAAGGACCACCGGUGGCGAAGGCGUCUCACCAGAACGGACCUGACGGCAAGGGACGAAAGCUAGGGGCACGAACCGGAUUAGAUACCCGGGUAGUCCUAGCCGUAAACGAUACUCGCUAGGUGUCGGCCACGGUGCGACCGUUGUCGGUGCCGUAGGGAAGCCGUGAAGCGAGCCACCUGGGAAGUACGGCCGCAAGGCUGAAACUUAAAGGAAUUGGCGGGGAGCACCACAACGGGUGGAGCUUGCGGUUUAAUUGGAUUCAACGCCGGA